rnacentral:tRNA from 1 species
AUUUAUAUAAUAUAUACAGUAUAUUUAACUUCCAAUUAAAAAGAUUAAUUUAAUAAUAUAAAUA